CCCAUAUCUAGACAAAUUUUUGGGCAAUUAAUAGGUGCAUCUUCGAGCUGUAACCAGGAAGCCGACGCCAUUCUCAGGAAGAAUUCCGAAAUUUGCACUUACCAAUAAUGGUAGACAAAUGUAUUCUCCCAUCUUCUUUCUUGGGUUGUCAAUUUCUUAGCUUCUCUAUGUCUCCACACACAUGAAAGUAGCUCAUUCAUGGCUGCCCUAAUCCUCAUUCAUGGCUGCCCAAAAAUAAUCGCGUUUUAUUACUCUCUUCAUUUUUGCAUCUUCAUUUUUUUGGAUUUCUUCUUCAGCACAAAGUAUAAGUCUUGCUUACAUAAAUUGUUCCCGUUUAUGCUUUGUCCUUGUACAAGUUGCUAUUUUGUUUAUUGGGUGGGUAAGCAAUUGACCAGGCUGCAAUGGAGGAGGGUUAGCUUAAACUUGCGUUCAGUUUUGCAUGCCGUAUGUUGAGUUUUGUUUAAGGUUCUAACUUCUUUUGUGAAUGAUCUGUUUUAAUUGUUUUUUGUGCAUAGUCUAUGUUGGAAAAUUAGGGUGCUCCAAAUAUUGGGAUUAAAAUUAAAUUCAACAGAAUUGGCUUUGUUUUGAUAUUCAUUUGGCUGCACUAGAAAUUGUAAUUUUGAUUAUCUCCAUGCAUAUAUCUUUGUUGUUUUCUGUACAUAAAUAGACACGGUUAUGGUGUUAACGAGCACUACUAACUUAUACAUCUCUCAAUUUUUACGCUACUCAGGAAAAUAAAUAAUAGAAGAUGAUAAUCAUGAGUUGUUGGUCGACUAUGUGACGAGAAUAUGCAGGAUAAUUUGAACACAUUGGGCAAUGAGAACAUAGGAGGAGAUGUUGCGAAUCCACCUGAAGUGGGCAUGAUGUUUAAUGACGAGAAAGAAAUGUUGGAGUUCUACAAAAGAUAUGCUUACGUUGUAGGCUUUCCAGUUCGAAGAAGGAAUUCAAAAAAGGGUGAUGAUGGAGUUAUGAGAUAUGUGAUGUUCACGUGUAGUCGUGAAGGUUGAAGAAAUUAUGCUACAGGCAGUUCCAUGAAGCCGCAACCAAAAUGUCAAACAGACUAUAAAGUAAGAAUAUUUGCAUCGUUAGAUAAUCUUGGAAUUCGGAGAAUUAACAAAGUAUACCUUGAGCAUAAUCAUAACACAAGUCCCACGAAGUUUAGAUUGUACUGAUGCAACUGAAGUUUGAGUGUGAGUGUGAAGCGAAAACUCGAAAUGAAUGAUAUGGCAGGAAUCUCCUUACAAAAGAGUUACAAUUUUGCAGUUGUGGAAGCCGGUGGAUAUGAGAAUAUGACUUUUGUGGAAAGGGAUUGUCGGAAUUAUGUUGAAGAAGUGAGACGAUUACAUCUUGGAGAAGGAGAUGCCAUCGCAUUACAGGCAUACUGGUGCUCGAUAUUUUUCUUUAGUAUGGAUUUAGAUGAUGAGUCAAGACUAAAGAAUGUUUUCUGGGUAGAUAAUAGAUGUAGGCAAGUUUACAAAGAAUUAGGUGAUGUUGUCACUUUCGAUACUGCGUACCUCACAAACAAGUACGACAUGCCCUUCACCUCAUUUGUUGGGGUAAAUCAUCAUGGACAAAGUACACUGUUCGGCUGUGGGUUGUUAUUAAAUGAGGACACAGGGACUUUUGUGUGGUUAUUCAGAACAUGACUUGAGUGCAUUAUGGUGAAGCUCCUAGUGGAAUCAUUACUGAUCAAGACUAGGCAAUGCAAAAUGCCAUUGAGAUUGUUUUGCCUACAACGAAGUACAAAUGGUGUUUGUGGCACAUUAUAAAAAAAUUGCCAGAAAAAUUUGGCUACCACAUUCAAAAAAGCUCGAUUUUCGCUGCUAUACAUAGAUUGGUAUAUGAUUCAGAUAUUGUUGAAGAAUUCAAACAAGGUUGGAGAACGAUGCUCGCCACAUAUGAUUUAUAUGAUAGUAAUUGGUUAUCGAUAUUGUACGAGAAUAAGGAUCGUUGGGUUCCAUGUUAUUUGAAGACCACAUUUUGGGCAGGGAUGUCAACAACCCAACGUUUGGAGAGUAUAAAUGCAUUUUUUUAUAGGUAAGUGCAUUCAAAAACCUCGUUGAAGCAAUUCGUAGAACAAUAUGUUUGAGCACUAAGAAGUAAGGUUGAAAAGGAGUUCCAAGUCGAUUUCAAGUCCUUUUCCCAAAUGGUGCUUUGUGCAACAUAUUUUGAGAUGGAAAAGCAAUUUCAAAUGGUCUAUACCAUUAUGAAGUUUAAAGAAUUUCAACAAGAGUUAACUGGAAAUGUAUAUUGUGACAUCUUAUUUAAAAAUACCAUUGAUUAUUUUUCGACGACCUACGAUGUGCGAGAAUAUGUCGUAUAUCAGGAGCAUAGGAAAAACAAAAACUUUUUACGGGUCAUUUCGGAGGGAGUCAUGCGAAUUGAGUUGUAGUUGCCACUUGUUUGAGUUUUGUGAUAUCCUUUGCAGGCAUGCGAUCACAGUAUUGAUUCGCAACAACAUUACGACGAUGCGAGAUAGGUACAUACUCAAAAGAUGGAAGAGAGAUGUAAGUAGAACACCCUCAAGGGUUGUGAUAAAUUAGCGAUAAAUUAUGACGGACUGGUGAGUACCCCCAGCAGAUGAGAUAUGAUGACAUGUGUUCGAGCUUUUCAGAGGUCGCAGACCUCGUGACAAACGACAAUGGGUUAACAUGUAAUGUAAUGGAUUAGAUAAAAUCUCAAACAUCAUAUUUGCGGAUGUCGAUAUCGAAUAUUGGAAGCACUAGCCGUCCGCUAAAUAAUGCGAACUUGCCCUCAACUUGUAACAAUUCACAAAAUACUAGUAGUGCCAGCAUAUUAGACCCUGUAUUGUCUGGCCGAAAGGGUGCGCCAACGAAACGUCGGCGGAAAGGCCCAUUGGAGAAGAUAUUUUUCAUAGUUAUCCUCUUAAUAUAUUGCGAAUUAUAGGCCACAAAAUGAUUAUUUUUAAUGAUGAACUUGUAGACCACUUCAGCAUCAAAUAAGGGAAAAAUAUCGUGAGCUAGGCCUCGUUGUACACAAGAGGGAGCAACAAUUGUCCAUGCAUCUCAAACAUCACAGUGUUUUGUGCCCUCGCCAUUUUCAUAUUCACAGCACCCAUUGGUGAGUACAUUGUAUUAGUGCGGCUACUUGGUUGAAGUUGCUAAAAAUUGUGUUUUCUCAUGUAGGCUUACAAUGUCAGUCAAACCUUGCCACCAACAAAUAUUAUAGUCAAUACUGGAGGUAAUACAUUGGUCAGGUAUUGUAGGUAUUUAUGUAUGAUCAUUUCAUUUAUUGCGACAUUGUAGCUGCUAUCUUUUCACUUAGAUCAUGUCAUGCCAUACUACUAUCAACAUUUGCCCAAUGAAGGUCACACACGCUUGUGACUCUUUGAUUGAAGGAAUGUUUCAUUUGUCCUCGGAUGGUUUAAAUUUUUACCAAAUCUAUGUUUCUAGUUUAUGAAGCAUCAAUUAGUCAUUAAAUCACUAAUAUAUAAUAGUUUCUGCCCUUAUCAUUAUUUGGUAACAAAUAAGGUGUAUGCCCUUGUUGGAAGUUAAAUUUAAUUUUUCGAAGGAUAUCCAUUUCCAACAUGUUUACACUAUUAAUAUUUUGUCAGAUUUGUAUAUCCCAUUAUUCACUCAACAAUAUUUGUCCUUAUUACAGCUGGCCUAUGGAAUCUUCUUCUCUUUUGAAUAAAUUUCUAUUAUAUAUUUCUUGUCAUUGAAUUAAUGAUUGAUUGAGUCUAUUCGUGAAAUCUAUGUUUCUGUAUUUGUACUCAAUUAUCUUUUUGAUAAUAAUUUUUUCGUUUAUCUUGUAAACUUAUAGGCUGUGAUGCAUUCUUAUAUUACUGUCCAGUUCAAGCCCCAACUCUAGUCUAGAGAAAGUAGCUCUAGUUCAAAACACAGAUCUGUUAUCUGAAGUUGCUUCAUCAUCUCCCUUUUAUAUUUGUCAUUCAUCAUUCCAUUUUUCCCAUGUAAAUCAGGCCCUCUGCAUAUAAAUAUAUUGUUAAAAAUCUAGUGAUGACUCACUUGGACUUUUAGAAAAUUCCAUGCUGUUGAAAGUAUUGGUUUUUGCUAGUUCAAUUGUCAAGCCGACAGCGGUUAAACUUUUUACAUAUUUUGCAGUCAAUUUGUAAUUGUUUUGAAGAUUGUAUUUUUGUAUGGAACUUGAGGGAAUCAUCUUAUUGUCAUCAAGUUGUCGUAUAACACAUUCUGCAGUCAAUUCCUAUCCUUGCUGCUUUCCCUUUCUUUGGUAGGUUGGAAAAGCAAUGUCUUUUUAGUUUUCCAAUCCAUUUGCCGUUAUCGAAAAAAAAUUGUUAUGUGUG
rnacentral:lncRNA from 1 species